rnacentral:rRNA from 1 species
UCGAACGGUAACAGGAAGCAGCUUGCUGCUUCGCUGACGAGUGGCGGACGGGUGAGUAAUGUCUGGGAAACUGCCUGAUGGAGGGGGAUAACUACUGGAAACGGUAGCUAAUACCGCAUAACGUCGCAAGACCAAAGAGGGGGACCUUCGGGCCUCUUGCCAUCGGAUGUGCCCAGAUGGGAUUAGCUAGUAGGUGGGGUAACGGCUCACCUAGGCGACGAUCCCUAGCUGGUCUGAGAGGAUGACCAGCCACACUGGAACUGAGACACGGUCCAGACUCCUACGGGAGGCAGCAGUGGGGAAUAUUGCACAAUGGGCGCAAGCCUGAUGCAGCCAUGCCGCGUGUAUGAAGAAGGCCUUCGGGUUGUAAAGUACUUUCAGCGGGGAGGAAGGCGAUAAGGUUAAUAACCUUGUCGAUUGACGUUACCCGCAGAAGAAGCACCGGCUAACUCCGUGCCAGCAGCCGCGGUAAUACGGAAGGUGCAAGCGUUAAUCGGAAUUACUGGGCGUAAAGCGCACGCAGGCGGUCUGUCAAGUCGGAUGUGAAAUCCCCGGGCUCAACCUGGGAACUGCAUUCGAAACUGGCAGGCUAGAGUCUUGUAGAGGGGGGUAGAAUUCCAGGUGUAGCGGUGAAAUGCGUAGAGAUCUGGAGGAAUACCGGUGGCGAAGGCGGCCCCCUGGACAAAGACUGACGCUCAGGUGCGAAAGCGUGGGGAGCAAACAGGAUUAGAUACCCUGGUAGUCCACGCCGUAAACGAUGUCGACUUGGAGGUUGUGCCCUUGAGGCGUGGCUUCCGGAGCUAACGCG